rnacentral:rRNA from 1 species
CGCUGGCGGCGUGCCUAACACAUGCAAGUCGAACGGAGUUAAGCCCUUCGGGACUUAACUUAGUGGCGAACGGGUGAGUAACGCGUGAGGAACCUGCCUUUCAGUGGGGGACAACAGUUGGAAACGACUGCUAAUACCGCAUAACAUGUACGGAUCGCAUGGUCUGUACAUCAAAGCUUUAUGUGCUGAAAGAUGGCCUCGCGUCUGAUUAGCUAGUUGGUGGGGUAACGGCCCACCAAGGCGACGAUCAGUAGCCGGACUGAGAGGUUGAACGGCCACAUUGGGACUGAGAUACGGCCCAGACUCCUACGGGAGGCAGCAGUGGGGAAUAUUGGGCAAUGGGCGAAAGCCUGACCCAGCAACGCCGCGUGAAGGAAGAAGGCCUUCGGGUUGUAAACUUCUUUUAGUAGGGACGAAGAACGUGACGGUACCUACAGAAAAAGCAACGGCUAACUACGUG